rnacentral:rRNA from 1 species
AGUGAACGCUGGCGGCGUGCCUAAUACAUGCCAGUCGAAGGAAGUGGCGCACGGGUGAGUAAAAUAUAGCUAAUCUGCCCCUUGCUGGAGGAAAACCGUUAGAAAUGAAUGCUAAUACUCCAUAGCAAGGGAUGAGACUAUAUCGUAUCAGCUGGUCGGUGGGGUAACGGCCUACCGAGGCUAUGACGCGUAACUGGUCUCGGAGGAUGAUCAGUCACCUUGGAAGUGAGACACGGUCCAAACUCCUACGGGAGGCAGCAGUAGGGAAUGGUGCGCAAUGGGGGAAACCCUGACGCAGCAACGCCGCGUGGAGGAUUACAAUUUUCGGAGCGUAAACUCCUUUUGUUAGUGAAGCGGUACCUAACGAAUAAGCACCGGCUAACUCCGUGCCAGCAGCCGCGGUAAUAC